rnacentral:rRNA from 1 species
UAGUCCACGCCGUAAACGAUGGAUACUAGUUGUUGGGUUAAUUCUCAGUGACUAAGCGAAAGUGAUAAGUAUCCCACCUGGGGAGUACGGUCGCAAGACUGAAACUCAAAGGAAUUGACGGGGGCCCGCACAAGCGGUGGAGCAUGUGGUUUAAUUCGAUGAUACGCGAGGAACCUUACCAGGGCUUAAAUGUAGAGUGACAGGGGUAGAGAUAUCUUUUUCUUCGGACACUUUACAAGGUGCUGCAUGGUUGUCGUCAGCUCGUGCCGUGAGGUGUCAGGUUAAGUCCUAUAACGAGCGCAACCCCUAUUUUUAGUUGCUAACAGGUUAAGCUGAGGACUCUAGAGAGACUGCCGGUGCAAACCGUGAGGAAGGUGGGGAUGACGUCAAAUCAUCACGGCCCUUACGUCCUGGGCUACACACGUGCUACAAUGGUAUGGACAAUGAGCAGCCACUAUGCGAAUAGGAGCGAAUCUAUAAACCAUAUCACAGUUCGGAUCGGAGU